AGUGAACUCUGGCGGCAGGCCUAACACAUGCACGUCGAGCGGAGCGGCUGACGGGUGAGUAAUGCCUAGGAAUCUGCCUGGUCGUGGGGGAUAACGUCCGGAAACGGGCGCUAAUAUCGCAUACUAUCAGAUUAGCCUUGGUCGGAUUAUCCAGUUUGUGGGGUAAAGUCCUACCAGGGCGACGAUCCGUACACGGUCUGAGAGGAUGAUCGGUCACACGGGAACUGGUACACGGUCCAGACUCCUACGGUAGGCAGCAGGGGGGAAUAUUGGACAAUGGGCGAAAGCCUGAUCCAGCCAUGCGGCGUGUGUGAAGAAGGUCGUCGGAUUGUAAAGCACGUUAAGUUGGGAGGCGUUACCAACAGAGUAAGCACCGGCUAACUUCGUGCCAGCAGCCGCGGUAAUAC
rnacentral:rRNA from 1 species